GAUGAACGCUGGCGGCGUGCCUAAUACAUGCAAGUCGAGCGAACAGACGAGGAGCUUGCUCCUCUGACGUUAGCGGCGGACGGGUGAGUAACACGUGGAUAACCUACCUAUAUGACUGGGAUAACUUCGGGAAACCGGAGCUAAUACCGGAUAAUAUAUUGAACCGCAUGGUUCAAUAGUGAAAGACGGUUUUGCUGUCACUUAUAGAUGGAUCCGCGCCGCAUUAGCUAGUUGGUAAGGUAACGGCUUACCAAGGCAACGAUGCGUAGCCGACCUGAGAGGGUGAUCGGCCACACUGGAACUGAGACACGGUCCAGACUCCUACGGGAGGCAGCAGUAGGGAAUCUUCCGCAAUGGGCGAAAGCCUGACGGAGCAACGCCGCGUGAGUGAUGAAGGUCUUCGGAUUGUAAAACUCUGUUAUUAGGGAAGAACAAAUGUGUAAGUAACUAUGCACGUCUUGACGGUACCUAAUCAGAAAGCCACGGCUAACUACGUG
rnacentral:rRNA from 1 species